UACGGAAGGUCCGGGCGUUAUCCGGAUUUAUUGGGUUUAAAGGGAGCGUAGGCGGGUGGCUAAGCGUGCUGUGAAAUCCGGCGGCUCAACCGUCGCGAGCAGCGCGAACUGGCCGUCUUGAGUGCGCGGGAGGCAGGCGGAAUUCGUGGUGUAGCGGUGAAAUGCUUAGAUAUCACGAAGAACCCCGAUUGCGAAGGCAGCCUGCCGUAGCGUUACUGACGCUGAAGCUCGAAGGUGCGGGUAUC
rnacentral:rRNA from 1 species